UAUCCAGGCCGCUGGCGGCAGGCCUAACACAUGCAAGUCGAGCGCGCCCUUCGGGGUGAGCGGCGGACGGGUUAGUAACGCGUGGGAAUAUACCCUUUGGUACGGAAUAGCCUCUGGAAACGGAGAGUAAUACCGUAUGAGCCCUUCGGGGGAAAGAUUUAUCGCCAAAGGAUUAGCCCGCGUUAGAUUAGGUAGUUGGUGGGGUAAUGGCCUACCAAGCCUACGAUCUAUAGCUGGUUUUAGAGGAUGAUCAGCAACACUGGGACUGAGACACGGCCCAGACUCCUACGGGAGGCAGCGGUGGGGAAUCUUGGACAAUGGGGGCAACCCUGAUCCAGCCAUGCCGCGUGAGUGAUGAAGGCCUUAGGGUCGUAAAGCUCUUUCGCCUGUGAAGAUAAUGACGGUAGCAGGUAAAGAAACCCCGGCUAACUCCGUGCCAGCAGCCGCGGUAAUACGGAGGGGGUUAGCGUUGUUCGGAAUUACUGGGCGUAAAGCGCACGUAGGCGGACUGGAAAGUUGGGGGUGAAAUCCCGGGGCUCAACCCCGGAACUGCCUCCAAAACUAUCAGUCUAGAGUUCGAGAGAGGUGAGUGGAAUUCCGAGUGUAGAGGUGAAAUUCGUAGAUAUUCGGAGGAACACCAGUGGCGAAGGCGGCUCACUGGCUCGAUACUGACGCUGAGGUGCGAAAGUGUGGGGGAGCAAACAGGAUUAGAUACCCUGGUAGUCCACACCGUAGACGAUGAAUGCCAGUCGUCGGGUAGCAUGCUAUUCGGUGACACACCUAACGGAUUAGGCAUUCCGCCUGGGGGAGUACGGUCGCAAGGAUUAAAACUCAAUGAUUGGACGG
rnacentral:rRNA from 1 species